rnacentral:lncRNA from 10 species
GAUACAGCAGGCUCUGGGGAAAUAAGUAUUGUAAAGUUGGCAGGUAGAAGGGGUUUUUGGCUGUUGUUUUUCAAACAUAUUACACAUAUUUUUACAUUAUUAAAAACACACGCUUCCGCACAACACCAUUUCCCCAGAAGCCUCUCUGGCUGACUAGUGUCAAGCCUGGUGAUUUAUAAGAUUGUUUGCAUAUAUUAUAUUUUAAAACACAUAUUGCUUUUGUAAAACGCGUAUUUAUUAUACAUUUUGGAAUUCAUAAUAUGCGCAGAAAAGCAGCCUCCGCCUGGCUGGAUCUGAGACAGUCUGUCACGUAAACACAUUUCUGGAAGGGACUUCAUACAAAUGCUUUAGACGGGGCCAACCAAUUCUUCCCUCCGCGGCUCCCAUGGUCUCUCCCUCCCUCUCUCUCUCUGUCUCUCUCUCUCACACACACAUGCCCCUCUCCCCCUCCUCCUGCACGUCACACCCAUACAAAUAAAUAAUAAAAACAGUAAUGGAACAACGGCCCCAGAGGAAAGCUCUGUUAGGAAUAAACCUGAUUUUCAAAGCUGCACAAAAAUCAUCAAGCAAAGUAACCUUGUGAAAAGCAACAAUUCAGAACCCUAUAGAUUGGGCGGCCCCAAAUUAGGGAAAUGGCUCUGUGAACCCCAGUCAAGUACGUUCUUCAAAUACCUCAAGCUGUGACCUUAAGUACAAGACUUGAUUUGAAAUCAAAUUGUGUGGUUGGUGUACGGGAAGAGUGUUCCAGACCCCGGUCUCCUUGAAAAUGAGAACCAGCUUGGAAAAACAAAAAGGCCGUGCGUCUAGGCUCUGUGACUUGGUCCAGAUGUGCCAACUUAGCAACUCCCCACGCUGUCCGCAGCGGAGAUGGAUUUCUUUAACGUUCCUGUUAUCAAGCCCUCCUAUUUGUCGCCCCCAAACUCAGUUUCCCCCAGAUGUCUUGGACUGCUUCGUUUGAGGCUUCUGCAGCAGCUGCUGCCGCUCUACACAAAAGGCGGCUCCGAGAGCCAAGAUUAUGUCUUCAGUGCAUUACGGGCACAUGCAGUGCGUAUAUCUUCGGUAAAUAACCGCCCGUUUUCACAUGGAUUAUUUAGAAUUUCUGAUGAAACUGCAGAAAUGUCAAUGCGGGGUCUAAGCCACCAAUCGGAGAGCGGCUCCGCGACCCCUCUCUUCUUCAGCAAGACUGCUAUUAUCUUCAAGGGGAAAAAAAACCCUCUUUGUCUCUUGUUAUACCUUUUUUAUGAUCUAGGAUGCUGUUAAUAACGACUUUGUGUUACAUAAAACAGAUAAAUUAAUGUCACCAAGUCCCCAAAGUACUGAAUCAACCCUACUCCUUCAAAGGAAAGCAGAAAGUGUAUGAACUGAAGGCCAGGACUGAAGAGGGGCUCCUCUCCUAAAAUGGGAGAGGUCCUCCAAUCGCUGGCCUGUUCCUAUUUGAAAUGCAAUAUUUAAAAACCGUGUGGCUGGGGAGGAAAAUGCCGCUGUCUGGCUGAACAUCCCUCCAAAGGGGAAAUCGAGCGUGUGG